AGAAUCUUUAAUUCUUUAUUAUCAUGAGUACUGACUACUGAAUAGUGAGUAGAACAUAGACCAUAGUGCCUAAUAUUGUACAUCGUGUGCAGGCAGGUCAACAGCUAUAUGCCAAUAUAAUAUGUAGUGAUAAUAGUAUAAACCCUGUUACACGAACCUUUUGCGUAACCAAUACGUCCGGUUCCGGUAUCGUUGGUGUUGAUACUUACAUAGAGGGGUGAUGGAAAAUACAAUUUUAGCCAAUAUAGGCAGCUGUGUGACCGGCGUGACUCAUUUUUAUUUUGAAAUCGACGCUCAGCCAGUAAGCAAACUUUUGUAACUACUUAUUAAAUAUUAGGUUUAGGUACUUUUAUACAAAUCUAGGACCCCCCCCCUCCUAUUCAUUGGACGCUUUCCUCCAGAACGUGUCAAUUUCUCCGCGGAAAAAAUGCAAUAUCAUCAUCACUGACGUAAAAACCAAAUUCGAAGAAAACAAUACCAAAACACUUAAGACUUAAUGCUCUUAAAAGUUGUUUCAGCAACAAACAAGUUAUCAGUAAACGUUAUCAUCACAAAUUAUGUAAGCAUUGCCGGCUUUGCAAACGGUGGCGAGAUCCAUGCCCUCGCGUAAUGUUAUUGGACGUCACUACGUCAGCAGUAAGUUAUAUCAGUGAUGAUGAGACUACGUGUGACUAUCAGGUUUACUGUCGAUAAGCGACUGAUAAGAGAUACAUAAUAUUAGUUUUUUUUUCACUAAAAUAAUAAAUACACAGAUAAUCUAUAUAAUAAUAAUAUUAUAUUUAUUAUAUGAUACAUAUAGAUAUCUGUGCUAAUAUACUAUACUUAUUUGUUUAAAUUUUUAAUUUCCAACACCGUGUUCCCACUGUUGCCUUUGGCUUCGAAGCUGCGUCAUCAUUGGAGUUGAAUCAAAAUCAUCAAACAAUUGAUUUAAUUAAGCCAGGCUCUGAACACUUGAACUAGAACAUUAUAAUGUGCUUAGAAGUAAUUUUUGUGGGGGGCCCACCCCCAAAAUUCAACCCAGGAUUCGCCACUAGUUCUACCACUCGAUUACAAUGAUGGUAUUUGAUGCACAUAGGUAUUCAAAAGAUAGAAAGUUUGUUGUGGACUCUGAUGAGGAUAAAUGUUGUAAAAAUUAUGAGCGGUACAACUCCUGAUAAGCUCCCAAAAUACAAUGUGUUCAACGAUAAAGGUAACACUAAAUAUUUCGAACGUAUGACCUUGAAUUUCAUUUUGAUUUUUAUCCACUAUAAAAAACUUAAUAUUCCCAUAUUAUUGAAAAAUUUUAAAUUGUAACUCCUUUUUGAGUUUUUUUUUUUUAAAUUUUUUUAUGUAACUUUGACCAUCUUGAAAAUUGACUUGCUGAGAGUGAGCCAAAGUUUUGAUUCGUGCAUGUUGUAUUUAUUUUAUUUUUGAACAGUCUAUUUAUAAUUUGGUGAAAAUAAUAUAAAUGUGCUUUAUUUAGGUACGUGACCACAACUGAGUUAAAAAAAAAAUAUAUACGAAAUCACAAAGAACGAUAACUGUGCCGUUGAUAAUAUAAACAUUUAUAUUAUUCACUAAACUUCAAGUAUUAUUUAAUUUGUCAUUUAAACCAUUUUUACAUCAUCCACUUUAAGUACAAUAAUAUUUAAAUAUUGCUGUAGAGUAUCGACAACGGUAAUGCGCAAAUCGCAAUGUUGCCGGUAGAGCACAAACAAUAGGAUAGCUAUAAUCACGGACUAAGAUAGUUUAGUCCGUGGCUAUAAUUAACUGUUAGUAACAUAGUAAUAAUAAAGGAAUAAAAUAAAUCUCAAUUUUUUUUUAUAAAACAUAUUUGCUCAAAGGUUGUUAUUGAUAAAUAAAUAAAUAUAUAUAGGAUCAUAUUGUAUGUAGAACGUUUCUCGAUAAGCUUAUAAUUUUAUGUAUAUUCGCGUAUGCUGCGUAAACGAAAGCCAAUAGAGGUACCUUAUAUGAAUAUGAUAUUUAGAUCUUAAUUAUUCUAUAGAUGUACGUAUAAGCAGUAGUUUUUUUGAACGUAUCCCUUCUAUUUUUUGUAAAGGAACGCUGGGAACGCAACAUUUACUAGUGAAUUAGUAAAUUGUCAGUCUUUCUGAUGCAAAAUAUAAUAGCCAUAAUAUUUUUACUUUGUACCCACGAAAAAAAAAAGUGAAUUGUUAAAAUUCCUUUAAACUAUAAAAUACAGUGAUAAGAAACUAUGCAAGAUAGUCUAUGCCAACGCAUGUACACCUUAUUCAAUGCAUAAUUUAUUAAUAAUUGACAAAUUUUAUGUUUUUUUUUUAAAUAAUUAAUAAAUAAGUUUUUUUUUCUUUUUUUCGUAUUUAUA